CCUAUCGUUUUUAAAAUUUAGAAGUAGUACCUACCCAUUUAAAAAAUUCACCUAGCAUGCAUAUAUCUGUAUGUGUGUAUAUAUGUGUGUAUGUGUGUGUAUAUAUAUAUAUAUAUAUAUAAAAGUUUCAUGAAAAAUUAAAAUGCCACAUUCACACCCAAUUCCAUUACCUUCCCCAGAGGCAACUACUGUUAACAAUUGACGUGUGAAUUCUUCAGGCGUUUUCUGAAUUUGUGGCAUAUGUGUGCACGCACGUGUAUGUGGCAUUUAUUUUACAUAAGUAAAAUGCGCACACAUACAUAUGUAUACAAUACCAUUCUGCAGCUUGGCUUUCUUAUAACACCAGCUCUGGGAGAUCUUUCCAAGCCGGUACAAAUAGCUGUACCUUAUUCUUUUACAUUGCAUGAGAGUCCAGACACAUGUUCUAUAAUUUACACUUGACUUUUAAGCUCACUUAAAAUUUGUGUCAGUGAAUGAUGUGCCUUGAGAAUCCACAAGGAUUUCCUUCCCCAGACAACCAGUUUUCCUAUCAGCAACCUUUCCCCGUGUGCUCACUGGGUAAUGUUUUAUUUUAUAGUCUGCUUUCUAAGUCAGCGCAGUGGACAGCACGUUUUAGAAAUAGGAAGAGCAGAACGUGUUGGCCAUGCUACAGUCAGAAAGUGGAUUCCAUACGGGAUCUUGUUUGAAUCUCACUGUGACUCUGUGCCAUGCGAAGUAUUCUUUUUCUGCUUUACGCCUGAGCAAGUGAGGUGUAAGGUGUGAGGUUCGGGGUCAGGGGGCUGCCCAGUGUCACACAACUAAGUCUCCUGACUUCCAAAUCCAAGCUUUCCCUGUGCAUGGGCUGGGCGUGACCUCAGGGAGUUCCUGCAAUGUGAAGCAGUGAAGAGGGAGAGAACCAAUGCCUUCCCCACCGCUACGUGCUGCUCUUCCUUCCUUCUUUCAACAAUUAUUUAUUGAGCUUCUACUGUGUGAAGGGUGCUGUGCUAGAGUAUGCUGUAAAAAAGCUCCAGAACUUUCAGAGGAACCCUUGCAGUCAGGUAGCUCUGGAUGUAGUCUUCAUCCAGAUGAAAUGGAGGGCUCCUACUCUCAGCUUCCAAAGGGUAUCCUGUGUUACAGGUCAGACACCAUUGCCCAGGCCAGGAACAAAGGAGUAGAAGAGGUAUCAGCUGCAAAGAUCUUCACUGGAGAGGUACUGCUGGAGGUGAGGAGGGAUGGAGGCCAAGGGGGCAGCCUUGUGUUCUACACUACUCUGCUCCAUCUAACUUUCCAGAGAAAAACAAAUUUUCAACUGCCAGAAAACUUGAUAAGGAAAUGUUACAAGAAAAGAAAUUAGUUGCCUAAAUUGUGUCACUUUUUUAGUAUUUCUUACACUAUAUAAAUCUCAAAAAUUCCCAAGUAGACAAGAAAUAAAAGUGAAGAAAAAUUAUGAACACUUUCGAUGUAUUUGAUGAGGAUAUGGAGUAGAAUUAGAAUUUAAAGUUUCUGAUGUAGUUCUUUUAUGUUACUUGUUCCUAAUGAAUUUUCCUUAAGGAAUAUUAGGUGGGGAAAACAGGUAUAUUUAAAGUAUCUAACUUUGUAUAAUAAUUGGUUCUUUCUUUCUUUCUUUCUUUCUUUCAAGGGUGAAGUUGGUGAGUCUUAAGCAGACUCCAUGCCCAGCAUGGAGCACAACAUGAGGCUCCAUCUCACAACCCUGAGAUUGUGACCUGAGCUGAAAACAAGAGUCAGAUGCUCUACUGACUGAGACACCCAGACACCUCAGAUCCCAAUAUUUCUUAAAUAAAACAUUUCUAGUUAGUUUGAAUAUACCUAAAUCUGUAUAUUAUGUAGAACUCUUGAAUUGGAAAGAAUCUAGACCAAUUUUAUUCCAGGAUAAAGAUAAAUAUAAUGGUUGGUUCAGUGUUGGUUGUGUCCUCCUAGCUGGUUAACACAAUAAAGACCCAUAUUCAGUUCUGGGUGCAUGUGCAUGACUGCAAGGGGUUAAAAAAAAAAUCUCAGGUUCUCUUAAUUCUGAGAGCAUGUGGUGGCCAGCCCAGAGCCAGAUUGAGCCAUGUUAAUUUCCCAGAAGAUUUCAAAGAAUUAUCUUUUGAAAGGGGGAAGUUUGGGCUAAUAAAAACCAGGAUAACCUCCGGCAGUCACAUGGAAAAGAAUAGAAACAAAUUACUCCUGGCUUGUUCGACAUUGCUGCCGGGGGCUUUCUCUGGCUAACCCAGACUGCUUUGUUUUUCUUUGUUGCAACGAGAGAAGUUACUAGUAAUGUCCUAGGAAAGGUAAGAGCAGCAAAGUUGUGCCAAGUGCUCAUCUGUGU
rnacentral:lncRNA from 1 species